UACGGGGGGGGCAAGCGUUGUUCGGAAUUACUGGGCGUAAAGGGCUCGUAGGCGGCCAACUAAGUCAGACGUGAAAUCCCCAGGCUCAACCUGGGAACUGCGUCUGAUACUGGAUGGCUUGAAUCCGGGAGAGGGAUGCAGAAUUCCAGGUGUAGCGGUGAAAUGCGUAGAUAUCUGGAGGAAUACCCGUAGCGAAGGCGGCACUCUGGGCCGAUACUGACACUGAGGAGCGAAAGCGUGGGGAGCGAACAGG
rnacentral:rRNA from 1 species